rnacentral:rRNA from 1 species
AACGACUCUCGGCAACGGAUAUCUCGGCUCUCGCAUCGAUGAAGAACGCAGCAAAAUGCGAUACUUGGUGUGAAUUGCAGAAUCCCGUGAAUCAUCGAGUUUUUGAACGCAAGUUGCGCCCGAGGCCUUUCGGCCGAGGGCACGUCUGCCUGGGUGUCACGC